rnacentral:rRNA from 1 species
UGAGUGCGAGCUGCUACGGCAGCGAAGUUGGUGACGUCAUGCUUCCAAGAAAAGCCCUAUACCCGUUAAGGCAUCAUGGCCUGUACCCGAAACCGACACAGGUGGGGUGGUAGAGAAUACCGUGGGGCGCGAGGUAACUCUCUCUAAGGAACUCGGCAAAAUGGCCCCGUAACUUCGGGAGAAGGGGUGCCACCUCAAGGUGGUCGCAGUGAAGAGGCCCAGGCGACUGUUUACCAAAAACACAGGUCUCCGCUAAGUCGCAAGACGAUGUAUGGGGGCUGACGCCUGCCCAGUGCCGGAAGGUUAAGGAAGCUGGUCAGCGCAAGCGAAGCUAGCGACUGAAGCCCCGGUGAACGGCGGCCGUAACUAUAACGGUCCUAAGGUAGCGAAAUUCCUUGUCGGGUAAGUUCCGACCCGCACGAAAGGCGUAACGAUCUGGGCGCUGUCUCGGAGAGAGGCUCGGCGAAAUAGAAUUGUCUGUGAAGAUGCGGACUACGUGCACCCGGACAGAAAGACCCUAUGAAGCUUUACUGUAGCUUGGUACUGUGCCCGGGCUCGCAAUGCGCAGGAUAGGUGGGAGGCUUUGAUCAUCGGCUUGCGGGUCGAUGUGAGCCAACGGUGAGAUACCACUCUUUGCGAGCUAGGGUUCUAACGGCCACCCGUCAUCCGGGGGCCGGACAGUACCUGGUGGGCAGUUUGACUGGGGCGGUCGCCUCCUAAAAGGUAGCGGAGGCGCGCAAGGUUCGCUCAGGCUGGUUGGAAAUCAGCCGACGAGUGUAAAAGCAGAAGCAAGCUUGACUGUGAGACCAACAAGUCGAACAGGGAGGAAACUCGGCUUUAGUGAUCCGACGGUUCUGAGUGGAAGGGCCGUCGCUCAACGGAUAAAAGUUACUCUAGGAUAACAGGCUGAUCUCCCCCAAGAGUUCACAUCGACGGGGAGGUUUGGCACCUCGAUGUCGGCUCAUCGCAACCUGGGGCUGAAGUCGGUCCCAAGGGUUGGGCUGUUCGCCCAUUAAAGCGGUACGCGAGUUGGGUUCAGAACGUCGUGAGACAGUUCGGUCCAUAUCCGGUGCACGCGCAGGAAUAUUGAGAGGAUUUCUCCCUAGUACGAGAGGACCGGGAGGAACGCACCUCUGGUGUACCAGUUAUCGUGCCAACGGUAAACGCUGGGUAGCCAUGUGCGGAGUGGAUAACCGCUGAAAGCAUCUAAGUGGGAAGCCCACCUCAAGAUGAGUAUUCCCAUGGCGUAAGCCAGUAAGGUCACGGGAAGAACACCCGUUGAUAGGCUCUAUGUGGAAGCGCAGUAAUGCGUGAAGCAGAGGAGUACUAAUAGACCGAGGGCUUGACC